CGCGAGAGAGUCAGAGAAAAGUUAAGAGAAUAUUGAUAUUUGUUAAGAGAAUAGCAAAGUUGGAAGGGAGAGUUUUAAAGAAUUCGAGUUAUUUGAAGUUCACCAGGAGUACCGGACACUUUUGUUGUUGUGUGUGUACGUGUUCCUGUGCCCCUGUCUCGGUCAAGUUUUAGGACCCCCAAAGAUUUUUUGGAGAAGGAGAUAUAAUGGUGAAUCAGAUGGCGAGCCACCCAGUUGGAUACCUGAGCUCUGCGUGAUUCCACAGCACUAUUUGAGCUUGAACUCAAGAGUGGUAGGAUCACUCCAGCACCCAAAAACUGGACAACCAGUCACGCAAUUUCAAACUCCAUAUAAUUUACUUUAAAUUGAACUACAAGGACAUUCUUUUGUUGUUACAAGGAAAAAGGACCCAUUUUAUUUAAUUGUGAUUUAAAUGUGUGUUUCUGUUAAAUUGUCCUAAAUACAAAUUAUUUUCUGCA